UUUUUUUUUUCGCUCAGGACGAACGCUGGCGGCGUGCCUAAUACAUGCAAGUCGAGCGGACAGAUGGGAGCUUGCUCCCUGAUGUUAGCGGCGGACGGGUGAGUAACACGUGGGUAACCUGCCUGUAAGACUGGGAUAACUCCGGGAAACCGGGGCUAAUACCGGAUGGUUGUUUGAACCGCAUGGUUCAGACAUAAAAGGUGGCUUCGGCUACCACUUACAGAUGGACCCGCGGCGCAUUAGCUAGUUGGUGAGGUAACGGCUCACCAAGGCGACGAUGCGUAGCCGACCUGAGAGGGUGAUCGGCCACACUGGGACUGAGACACGGCCCAGACUCCUACGGGAGGCAGCAGUAGGGAAUCUUCCGCAAUGGACGAAAGUCUGACGGAGCAACGCCGCGUGAGUGAUGAAGGUUUUCGGAUCGUAAAGCUCUGUUGUUAGGGAAGAACAAGUGCCGUUCAAAUAGGGCGGCACCUUGACGGUACCUAACCAGAAAGCCACGGCUAACUACGUGCCAGCAGCCGCGGUAAUACGUAGGUGGCAAGCGUKKUYCGGAAUUAUUGGGCGUWAAGGGCUCGCAGGCGGUUUCUUAAGUCUGAUGUGAAAGCCCCCGGCUCAACCGGGGAGGGUCAUUGGAAACUGGGGAACUUGAGUGCAGAAGAGGAGAGUGGAAUUCCACGUGUAGCGGUGAAAUGCGUAGAGAUGUGGAGGAACACCAGUGGCGAAGGCGACUCUCUGGUCUGUAACUGACGCUGARGAGCGAAAGCGYGGGGAGCGAACAGGAUUAGAUACCCUGGUAGUCCACGCCGUAAACGAUGAGUGCUAAGUGUUAGGGGGUUUCCGCCCCUUAGUGCUGCAGCUAACGCAUUAAGCACUCCGCCUGGGGAGUACGGUCGCAAGACUGAAACUCAAAGGAAUUGACGGGGGCCCGCACAAGCGGUGGAGCAUGUGGUUUAAUUCGAAGCAACGCGAAGAACCUUACCAGGUCUUGACAUCCUCUGACAAUCCUAGAGAUAGGACGUCCCCUUCGGGGGCAGAGUGACAGGUGGUGCAUGGUUGUCGUCAGCUCGUGUCGUGAGAUGUUGGGUUAAGUCCCGCAACGAGCGCAACCCUUGAUCUUAGUUGCCAGCAUUCAGUUGGGCACUCUAAGGUGACUGCCGGUGACAAACCGGAGGAAGGUGGGGAUGACGUCAAAUCAUCAUGCCCCUUAUGACCUGGGCUACACACGUGCUACAAUGGACAGAACAAAGGGCAGCGAAACCGCGAGGUUAAGCCAAUCCCACAAAUCUGUUCUCAGUUCGGAUCGCAGUCUGCAACUCGACUGCGUGAAGCUGGAAUCGCUAGUAAUCGCGGAUCAGCAUGCCGCGGUUGAAUACGUUCCCGGGCCUUGUACACACCGCCCGUCACACCACGAGAGUUUGUAACACCCGAAGUCGGUGAGGUAACCUUUAUGGAGCCANCCCCCAAAGUGGGACAGAUGAUUG
rnacentral:rRNA from 1 species